rnacentral:ncRNA from 2 species
CGCCUCUAAGUCAGAAUCCGGGCUA